rnacentral:rRNA from 1 species
GCGUAGGUGGCUUGUAAAGUGAAUAGUGAAACCUGGUGGCUCAACCAUACAGACUAUUAUUCAAACUCACAAGCUCGAGAGUAGCAGAGGUAACNUGGAAUUUCUUGUGUAGGAGUGAAAUCCGUAGAUAUAAGAAGGAACACCAAUGGCGUAGGCAGGUUACNUGGGCUAUUUCUGACACUGAGGCACGAAAGCGUGGGGAGCGAACCGGACUAGAUACCCGGGUAGUCCACGCCGUAAACGAUGGAUACUAGCUGUUGGAGGUAUCGACCCCUUCAGUAGCGAAGCUAACGCGUUAAGUAUCCCGCCUGUGGAGUACGGUCGCAAGACUAAAACAUAAAGGAAUUGACGGGGACCCGCACAAGCGGUGGAUCGUGUUCUUUAAUUCGAUGAUAAACGAAGAACCUUACCAGGGUUUGACAUCCUUGGAAUUUCUGUGAAAGCAGAGAGUGCUUUAUUGAGCCAAGUGACAGGUGAUGCAUGGCCGUCGUCAGCUCGUGUCGUGAGAUGUUUGGUUAAGUCCAUCAACGAGCGCAACCCUUGUGAAUAGUUGUAUUUUUCUAUUCAGACUGCCCCGGUAACGGGGAGGAAGGAGGGGAUGAUGUCAGGUCAGUAUUUCCCUUACACCCUGGGCUAGAAACACGAUACAAUGGUUAGUACAAUGCGCAGCGAAGCCGCGAGGUGGAGCAAAUCGCAUCAAAGCUAAUCUCAGUUC